ensembl:lncRNA
GCUCUUCCUCAUGUUUAUGGUCGCGCUCGCGGGCGCGCUGUACUUCGCCAAACACGUCGAGGACGAGAUAAACAAGCGGACGACGCGACGCUUGGACGGAUCUGCGGACGCGUUGGUUGCGCCGUUUCCCGAGACCGGAAACGCAUAUAAGAAUUUUGCCUACCUGAGGGCCACUGAAAGUAAACUCAAAUCAGGUGUGAUGGCGUGGGAAUCUAUCGCGUAUGGAAGCGGUCAAACCAUCGGCUCUCUCUACAGCUUUGAUCAAAAACAGAAUGUGCUGAACGUGAAUGAGAGUGGAAGCUACUUCCUGUAUGUCCAGCUCACUUUUUCCUGCACUGGAAUAUGUCCAUCUGACCAGUUCACGGUCAGCUUUUAUAAUCAGCGCAAUAGCGUGGAGCUCACCUGCACCGUCUCACUGCCUAAAUGGAGCGAAGAAACACCCAUUAGCAAGACAUGUUGGCGUGUCGUUACCUUUCCGGAAGAUGGAAACCGCCUUGUAGCCAAAUCCCAGUUUAAAGAAACACUAGACUGGAAACUGGAGAUGAAUGACUCUGGCUUUGGGAUGUUUCUGGUGGACGGAUUACGAGCGGUACAUCACACAUGA